rnacentral:rRNA from 1 species
GAUGAACGCUGGCGGCGUGCCUAAUACAUGCAAGUCGAGCGAACAGACGAGGAGCUUGCUCCUCUGACGUUAGCGGCGGACGGGUGAGUAACACGUGGAUAACCUACCUAUAAGACUGGGAUAACUUCGGGAAACCGGAGCUAAUACCGGAUAAUAUAUUGAACCGCAUGGUUCAAUAGUGAAAGACGGUUUUGCUGUCACUUAUAGAUGGAUCCGCGCCGCAUUAGCUAGUUGGUAAGGUAACGGCUUACCAAGGCAACGAUGCGUAGCCGACCUGAGAGGGUGAUCGGCCACACUGGAACUGAGACACGGUCCAGACUCCUACGGGAGGCAGCAGUAGGGAAUCUUCCGCAAUGGGCGAAAGCCUGACGGAGCAACGCCGCGUGAGUGAUGAAGGUCUUCGGAACGUAAAACUCUGUUAUUAGGGAAGAACAAAUGUGUAAGUAACUAUGCACGUCUUGACGGUACCUAAUCAGAAAGCCACGGCUAACUACGU